GUCCUAGGUGGUUCAGCUGUUCGACCAGGAUCGAUGGAAUGACGUUAUCAAAGGCACCUUUAACAUCCACAAACACCGCCCCCAGUUGUUUACCUCCCAGAAAAGCGGACGCCAGUGCUAUGGGCCUAUAACCCUGCGGUGCCUUUGGAAUAAGAACACAGGAGUACUGAGUCCAAGAUAUGGGGAUUUCCGAAGUCUCCAGAAAAAGCUUAUGAGAUCAGGACCUGGGGCCGAUCCGAUCUUGACUGAAUCUAUCGCGGCGUUAAGUUCAUACAAUGAGAGAGGAGAAUUGGGCCAUACAUUUUGAGUCUGAAAGGUGUCUGGCUUCAACACAGGCUCCGGAUCCCUCACCGACGGAGGGAAUCAGAGAAAUCCGGCCAAUCUACGCCACCCAACCUAAUCCCGGGCCUCCCCUGCUUCGAGGGCAAAGGACUGCAGUCGUACUCUAUGGCUAGAGGGAUGUGAUCGCUAGCAUUGCAGUCAUCAAUCGGACGCCACCUGAGAAGUAAAAUUGUGUCGUGGGUUGCCAUGGAAAGGUCCGGUGAGCCCUCCUAUCCGGUAUCCUAGUGACGGAACCGUCGUUGAGGGUGCCCCAGUCGCUAUCUUCUAGAGCUUC